UAAUACGUAGGCAGCAAGCGUUGUUCGGAAUUACUGGGCGUAAAGAGUGCGUAGGCGGUUGGCUAAGUUUGGUGUGAAAUCUCCCGGCUCAACUGGGAGGGUGCGCCGAAAACUGGCUAGCUAGAGUGCGGGAGGGGAUAGUGGAAUUCCUGGUGUAGCGGUGAAAUGCGUAGAUAUCAGGAGGAACACCUGAGGUGUAGACGGCUAUCUGGACCGUAACUGACGCUGAGGCACGAAAGCGUGGGGAGCAAACAGGAUUAGAUACCCUGGUAGUCCACGCCCUAAACGAUGCAGACUUGGUGUGCGCUCUUCAUUGAGUGUGUGCCGGAGCUAACGUGUUAAGUCUGCCGCCUGGGGAGUACGGUCGCAAGGCUGAAACUCAAAUGAAUUGACGG
rnacentral:rRNA from 1 species